rnacentral:rRNA from 1 species
UCUACGGGAGGCAGCAGUGGGGGAUAUUGCACAAUGGGGGAAACCCUGAUGCAGCGACGCCGCGUGGGUGAAGAAGCGCUUCGGCGCGUAAAGCCCUAUCAGCCGGGACGAAAAUGCCGGUACCUGUAGAAGAAGCCCCUGCUAACUCCGUGCCAGCAGCCGCGGUAAUACGUAGGGGGCACGCGUUAUCCGGUGUUACUGGGUGUAACGGGGGCGCAGACGGCGAUGCAAGACAGGAGUGAAAGCCCGGGGCCCAACCCCGGGACUGCUCUUGGAACUGCGUGGCUAGAGUGCAGGAGGGGCAGGCGGAAUUCCGGGUGUAGCGGUGAAAUGCGUAGAUAUGAGGAGGAACACCGGUGGCGAAGGCGGCCUGCUGGACUGCAACUGACGUUGAGGCCCGAAAGCGUGGGGAGCAAACAGGAUUAGAUACCCGAGUAGUC